rnacentral:lncRNA from 1 species
AUUGGAGACCUGCGGUUCUGCAGGGUUUCCGAGCCCCACAGCCUGUGGGGUCACAGCAUCAAGGGUGUAUGAGAGACUUGAAGGAGACUGGCCAUCCCCGCAUUCUGCUCAGUGGCAGCAGAGCCCCCCAGAACGCAGAGGCUGCCUGAACCCCCACCCAAGAGCGAGGCUGCUGGGUGAGAGUUCCCGCUUCCCGCCUGCCCUUCCUGAGGUGAAGGGCCCGAGCAGAGCCAGCUUUUGUCAGCACAGUGCUGACUGUGUCCGCCUGCAAUUCUUAGGCACCCGCUGUGCACCAGACCUUUCUCACGCAUUACCACAGUCACUCCGUGUAAAAACCCUGUGGGGUUGGCGUCACCGUCCGCACACGACAGAUGGAUGAGCCGAGCCGUGCAGCACUUCAACAACAAGUCUGAGGUCACAGGCAAGUGAGAGGCAGAGCAGGGGUAAAACCACACCUCUCUGGCUCCACAGUCCAUUCCCCUCCUCUGUGCUCGGCCUUCAAGGUCCACGGGUGCAGGUGCACUGAGGAGGGGCAGCAUCUGGGGAGACCAAGCGUUUAGGGGACAGGGCACCAGGCAGAGGGAACAGCAAGAACAAAACAUCUGAAUGGUCAGUCAAGGGUGAGGUGGCAGGGGCACCUGCCCGGGUGAGUCAUCAGCCUCGGAUUUAUGGCCUCGGGAGCACGUCUCCGUCCAGGGUUGCCAGGACGCCUCUAUUUGGACGCAUCAAGACAGUUUUCUCUGCCGUCCCCGAGCAGGUAGGUGAGCCACCAUGCCGGGUGGCACAGUGGAAUGUUGACGGGCCAACAGUGACCCAGAGAAAGACACUCCAUUCAGUGAGCCAGUGGUUUCCAACCGCCCCAGACCUCCCCAGGGCCUUGGUUUCCCUCACAGCUCGCUGUCACAUCAGACAAGUGGAGAGCCCAGCCGUGUGCUCAUUGGGAAUAAGGUCGGGCCAUGCAGGAGCACCGCAAGCCUUGCUUUCCUCAUCUGUAAAAUGGGCAUGACAGGAACAGGAUGGCAGAGACUGUCACUCUCUGCAGGGUCACCCAUGGAGGGCAGGUUUCAGCGGAGCUUCCAGACAAGACAGACUAGGAAGAAGGACCUGGCCACCCACUUCCAAAAGAAUUGGCCGUGGAAACACCACAAAUAGCAGUGGAGCAUUGUCUGAUAGCGCCCUGAGAGGUGAGAGGAUGGUGCAAAAAGACCAGAGCAAGACAAGAAUGUCCACUCUGGCCACUUCUAUUCAGCAUUGUUCUGGGGGUGUUACCCAGAGCAAUUAAGCAAGAAAAAGGAAUAAAAGUCAUCCAUACUGGAAAGAGAGAAGUAAAAUUAUCUUCUUUCACAGAAAACAUGAUCUUAAAUGUAGAAAAUCCUAAGGAAUUCACAGAAAGACUAUUAGAACUGACAAAUGAGUUCAGUAAGAUUGCAGGAUAUAGGAUAAAUAUACAAAGAUCAGUUGUGUUUCUAUACACUAGCAAUGAACAAUAAAAUGUCUACAAAUUAAAGUAAGGAAUCUGUGACCAAUUGCUUUUAACAAGAGCGUCAAGAUAAUUCAG